GACGAACGCUGGCGGCGUGCCUAAUACAUGCAAGUAGAACGCUGAAGAGAGGAGCUUGCUCUUCUUGGAUGAGUUGCGAACGGGUGAGUAACGCGUAGGUAACCUGCCUUGUAGCGGGGGAUAACUAUUGGAAACGAUAGCUAAUACCGCAUAACAAUGGAUGACACAUGUCAUUUAUUUGAAAGGGGCAAUUGCUCCACUACAAGAUGGACCUGCGUUGUAUUAGCUAGUAGGUGAGGUAAUGGCUCACCUAGGCGACGAUACAUAGCCGACCUGAGAGGGUGAUCGGCCACACUGGGACUGAGACACGGCCCAGACUCCUACGGGAGGCAGCAGUAGGGAAUCUUCGGCAAUGGGGGCAACCCUGACCGAGCAACGCCGCGUGAGUGAGGAAGGUUUUCGGAUCGUAAAGCUCUGUUGUAAGUCAAGAACGGGUGUGAGAGUGGAAAGUUCACACUGUGACGGUAGCUUACCAGAAAGGGACGGCUAACUACGUG
rnacentral:rRNA from 1 species